rnacentral:rRNA from 1 species
UUAAUCGUCAACACAGGCAGACAUCAUCAAAUCACUGCUCGCCCGAGAAGUACAGGUGACAAACCAGAAACUCAAAGGACUUGGCGGUGCCCCACACCAACCUAGAGGAGCCUGUCCCAUAAUCGAUACCCCACGUUGUACCCAACCUGCUUUUGCCACUCAGCCUAUAUACCGCCGUCGCCAGCCUGCCUAAUGAUAGACACACAACAGGUAAAACAGCCCCCACUAAUACGUCAGGUCAAGGUGUAGCUAAUAAGCAGGCGUCAGAUGGGCUACAUUUUCUUACAUAAGAAAAAUACCAUACGCACCAUGAAAUAUAAGCCGUAAGGCGGAUUUAGCAGUAAACCGGGCAAGAGUGCCUAGUUGAAAGCUGCCCUGGGACAC